rnacentral:ncRNA from 1 species
AACUCACCCGGUCCGGACACCAGUAGGAUUGACAGAUCGAUAGCUCUUUCUCGAUUUGGUGGGUGGUGGUGCAUGGCCGUUCUUAGUUGGUGGAGCGAUCCGUCUGGUUGAUUCCGAUAACGAACGAGACUCCGGCCUGCUAACUAGCGCGUCGAUUAGUGCUUUUCCGGUAGCGAGGCGGCGCCGAAGCCGUCGUCGGUAGCUCCGCGCGCGGCCCGGGUUUGCCGUUGCCGCCGCUCUCCUUCGCGUCCGGCGCUGCGGCCGCGUCCGGCUGCCGCCUUCUAUUUAUCUAUCUAUCUAUAUACCUAUCUAUCUAUCUAUCUAUCUAUCUAUCUAUCUAUCUAUCUAUCUAUCUAUCUCCUUAACUACCAUACAUUCUUACCUGCUUACUUACCUGUCGUCCUACCUACCUAAAUAAAUAAAUAUAUAUAUUUAACUUCAUUCACAUCCACUCAAUCGCACGCACACUA